CGGAGAUUUUCUUCAGAAAUAACGGUUCUGAAGUUUUUUUUCUUCCCUGAGUGCUAUAAUAGACAAUUAAUUAAUUUACUGAUAUGUUAUUCUUUCAGAAUAAAAGAUUGGAAUGAUAAGGAUUAAUGAGCACCUUUCCCCUUAUAUCCUGUGUCACACUACACAGUAGAUUUAGUAAUGUCAGGAUGCUCUAUUAUAACAGCUGGCCUUUGAUCCUGAUUUGUAUCUUCUUCUUAUUCCCCCCCCUGCACUGCAUAUCCUGAUAACACCUUGUUGGGAAGUGUUUGUUUAAUCAAGUAACACCUUUUGACCAGCUAAUGCCAAAUGUGCUUUAAGUUCUUUUAAUAUGCAAUUGACAG